UAACUGUGAGGAAGACCAGCUAGAGGCAAGGAAGGAUGAUGAAUGCUGUCCCUACUGUCUUGAUAACUGGGUCGUGGCAGAGAACCCCGACAACCAGAUCAAGAAAGGACAGUCUCUAGUUCUGACCUGUGAAGUACUUGUAGAGGGGGUCAGCAAGAAGGACAUUGUUUGGUUUAAGGACGGUAAAAAGAUAACUAAGGGAAUCUCCAGAAACAAGAAGAUGCUGACUGUAUUCUGACGCUGAUGCUGAUGAUGAUAUGGAAACCUACACUUGCCAG